UUCCGGCCAAACAGUUCAUAAAUGUAAUGGUAUGUACAUCACAAAUACUUGGCUGUUUCGCAAUUAUACAGAUUAAUUAUCUUGCAACGUAUACUGCAUUAAAUAAAGGGAGCAGAAAUUUUAAUAUGAAGCUCUCAUGGAAGGUCUUCUGGUUUUGGUUUCCAAUAUUUAUAUUACAAGUUUCUACCUGUAUUGUAAAACCGGGUAAGUGGAUAUCGUUACCGAAUGGUCAACAAGCUAAUAAUCAGCUCCAGCCAGCCCCACCACCCGUUCCAGUUCCUCCUCCAGUUCCACUAAUUUGUCCCACAAACGCCUGUUGUCCAGCCCAAUGUGGAGGACUGGACACGUGCGUUAAUCGUCGAUGUAUCCUCACAGGGACUGCAGCAGUUUUGUGCACCGAAGCAACAAUAGCAGUAACUCCUGCUUGUAUUGCACUCGGGUGCAAUGCUGCAUCCUGUGGCCCGACCGCUUGCGGCGCAAACCUAAAUCGUGUUUGUCUUCCAACAUUGUGAGAAAAUCGGAAUCUCAGACAUUUGCUAAUUUCGGAUGUAACGAUAUUCACUAUUAAUAAAAUUAUCAACAUCAGAUCAUACAUAUAAA